UACGGGGGGGGCAAGCGUUGUUCGGAAUUACUGGGCGUAAAGGGCUCGUAGGCGGCCAACUAAGUCGGAUGUGAAAUCCCCAGGCUUAACCUGGGAACUGCAUCCGAUACUGGAUGGCUUGAAUUCGGGAGAGGGAUGCAGAAUUCCAGGUGUAGCGGUGAAAUGCGUAGAGAUGUGGAGGAAUACCGAUGGCGAAGGCAGCCUCCUGGGCCAACACUGACGCUCAUGCACGAAAGCGUGGGGAGCAAACAGG
rnacentral:rRNA from 1 species